CAUCUAGUAGCUGGUUCCCUCC
rnacentral:ncRNA from 2 species